rnacentral:rRNA from 1 species
CAAUAGCGUAUAUUAAAGUUGUUGCAGUUAAAAAGCUCGUAGUUGGAUUUGUGGCGUACGGUGUGUUCCGGGCACUUGUUGUCUGAGUAACCUGCUGUUGCCAUCCUUGGGUGGAACCUGUGUGGCAUUAGGUUGUCGUGCAGGGGAUGCCCAUCAUUUACUGUGAAAAAAUUAGAGUGUUCAAAGCAGGCUUAUGCCGUUGAAUAUAUUAGCAUGGAAUAAUGAGAUAGGACUUUUUUACUAUUUUGUUGGUUUGCGCAAGAAGGUAAUGAUUAAUAGGGACAGUUGGGGGUAUUCGUAUUCCAUUGUCAGAGGUGAAAUUCUUGGAUUUUUGGAAGACGAACUACUGCGAAAGCAUUUACCAAGGAUGUUUUCAUUAA